AGAUUUAUUAGUAAUUUCUUUUAAGAAUGUAAAUUCUUCAUCGUAAUUAUCACUAUUGCAAGCAUUAAGGAACUCCGCUGAUGAGCAUACUCCAUUCUUUUCAAGUACUUCAGAAAAUUCUCUUACAUUCAUACCUUCUGUAAACUGUACAGAAACUAUAUCUGUUCUGUUAGUAUCUGUUUGAAGAUAUGAAAUAAUUGCCUGAUAAUCAAGAUUUUUCUUUAUAUCAUAAGUUCCUUUAAUAAAGCCUGAUUUAGAUUUCGUCAUAGUCGCAUAAAGAUUAAAGAAACUCUUAUUAUUGAUAAUAUUAUUCUUAUAGAGAAUAUCUGAAAUGUAGUCAAAUGAAGCGUUACUUGGAAUAUCUAUUGUAACCUCUUCAUCAGGCCUUCCGACAGCAAGCAUAUCAUUUACACCAACAACCAUAUAUCCGCCAACAAGAAUAGAAAUAAGUGCCGCCAUUAUAACCCAUACAACUCUAAAGAAACGCUUAUUUUUGCGUGAUUUUGCUUUCAAACGCUUUUUAUCCGCAUCUUUAGCUUUUUUAAGCUCCUUUUUUUCAGCCGGAGUCAUUUUUUUAGUAAUAACAUUUGCACUAUAACUCUGUAUGCUGUCACUUGCAUUAUCAAGGUCAUCAUCAGCAAUAAUCAUACUUUGGUCUAUAUUUUGCAAAAUACUUGAUGAAUUUAUAUCCUCAUCAAAAUUGCUGGUAACACAAACUGGAGGCCCGAACCGGUAAACGUUGAAAAGUUUUCGGAUGACCUGUGGGUAGGGGUGAAAGGCCAAUCAAACUGGGAAAUAGCUCGUACUCUCCGAAAUGCAUUUAGGUGCAGCCUCUGUUGUUUUGUUCUAGAGGUAGAGCUACUGAUUGGAUGCGAGGGCUUCACCGCCUAUCAAAUCCGGCCAAACUCCGAAUGCUAGAACAUGAAGACAGGGAGUGAGCCAGCGGGUGCUAAGGUCCGUUGACGAAAGAGGGAGAACUCAGACCAUCAGCUAAGGUCCCCAAUUAUAUGCUAAGUUGGAAUAAAAACGGGGUGGGACUGCUUAGACAGCUAGGAUGUUGGCUUGGAAGCAGCCAUUCAUUUAAAGAGUGCGUAACAGCUCACUAGUCGAGCGGUCCUGCAUGGAUAAUACGCGGGCAUAAGCAUAUAACCGAAGCUAUGGGAUUGUAGAUGAUACAAUCGGUAGGAGAGCAUUCCAUUCAGCAUAGAAGCAGUACCGUGAGGUAUUGUGGAGCGGAUGGAAAAGCAAAUGUAGGCAUAAGUAACGAUAAUGCGGGUGAGAACCCCGCACGCCGAAAGAUCAAGGAUUCCCCGGCAAUGUCAAUCAUCCGGGGGUAAGUCGGAUCCUAAGGGUAAGCCGAGUGGCGAUCCCGAUGGUAAACAGGUUAAUAUUCCUGUACUGAUCAUAACUGCGAUGCAGCGACGCAGAGGUGACACUGCUGCGUACUGACGGAAUAGUACGUUGAAACCCGUAUUCUUUGAUACCGGUAGUGAAGCACGCCGGUAGAGAUGAAAGGUGAUAGUACCGCAAUGCUUCGGUUGCGCGGAUAAUGCAGGUAAGCUGACUGCCAAGAAAACCUGCUAAGCUUCAGGUAAUGAUCAUCCGUACUGUAAACGGACACACGUGAUCAGGUAGAAAAUACUAAGGCGCUCGAGAGAUUCAUGGUUAAGGAACUAGGCAAAAUGGUCCUGUAACUUCGGGAUAAAGGACGCUCUUGUGAAAGAGCCGCAGAUAAUAGGCCCAGGCGACUGUUUACCAAAAACACAUGGCUAUGCUAAUUCGCAAGAAGAUGUAUAUGGCCUGACACCUGCCCGGUGCCGGAAGGUUAAGAGGAGAGCUCAGAGGUAACUCGAAGGUUUGAAUUGAAGCCCCGGUAAACGGCGGCCGUAACUAUAACGGUCCUAAGGUAGCGAAAUUCCUUGUCGGGUAAGUUCCGACCUG
rnacentral:rRNA from 1 species